rnacentral:rRNA from 1 species
ACGGAAUAUGGGGCAACUCAUAUUCAGUGGCGGAAGGGUUAGUAAUACAUGGAUAACCUACCUCUAACUUGGGAAUAACGACUGGAAACGGUCGCUAAUACCGAAUGAAGUGUGAUAAGGGCAUCCUUAACACAUUAAAGUGGGGGACCGAGCGAUCGGCCUCGCAGUUAGAGAGGGGUCCAUGGGAUAUCAGCUAGUUGGUGAGGUAAUGGCUCACCAAGG